AACAAGCCGAUGGGGCGUGAUAUUGCUUGUCAUAGUUACUCUGAUU
rfam:Lucilia cuprina strain LS Scaffold472, whole genome shotgun sequence.